CGGAGGAGGAGGGGAAAGGUCAUGAGGCCUGACUGGGAAGCUUGCAGUGAGGGUUGUCUUCCUGGGAAUCCCCUGGGCAGUGGUGGUGACCCUGGUGUGGGCAUGUUCAGGAUCCCACCGGAGGGGGCCCUCAAAGUUUGGACCCCCAGUGUGGACCGUCGGGACCUAACUCUUAACCUCCAAUAUGGGGAUGCUGGGGUCUAAUGGGAGGCUUCUGCUUGGAAUCCUGGAGACUUCGGUAUGGAGCUCUUGUAGGACCCUCCAUGUUUAGCCUCAAGAAUGAAUCACGAAUCUCAAGUUCCGAAAGGGAGCUCUUCCGAAUUUGAAUUUCUCUUCAAGUUCCAGUUGGCAUCUGCAGCUUUGUCCAGCUCUGGACAACGCUGAUCCAGAUGUCAUGGUCAAGGGGAUGCCUUCUUGUGGACCCCUUCUUGGGGACACUCCAGUUCUGAGGGUGGAGGGAUGCUUCUGCAGAGUGCAGAGGCAAGGAAGACAGAGCGCUGAGAAGGCAGGGACCUCUCAGUCUUGUGUGUGGCCUUUGGCUGAUGCUGAGAUCUUUGGAGGAGGCUCAAAUUCAUCAUUUGAUUCCAGAAUAUUAAAACUUCCAAAGAAUGCAACUUGUAGAUAAUCUAUGGUGGGUACAGACUGCAGCAUAUUUCCAAAGACGGUCCUGAGUGGGCAAGAAGGAUAUCACUGAAGACAUGGAUGAUUGGAGAAAAUCAAUAUCAGCCUGAAAUUGCAUUUGGAGACCAGCCAUAGCCUGGGUAGAUUGGGGUGGAGAAGGGGGGAGGAAGGGUAAUGUGUUAUAGGAGCAACAGCUGCAUACAGGCUUUCUUGACAUUUGGCUCAGAUUGAAAUGAAUAAAACCAACCUCUUAGAGCUGAAAAUGACUGAGGUAUUUUUCUAAUCUCUAUCCCCAGCUCGAAACUUUACCCCAGAAAAAAAGUUCUUUAGUUUCCCUUUAUGAUCCAUGCAAGAGUUUUAUAACUUUUUAUUACAGAUUUUUGCUCAGAUCUAAUUGACUUGCAGUUUAGAUAACAGAUUCAUAGACAAUUAGGAAGAUCUUAUAUCCUUUUAGUACUAUAUUUAACUGAAGUCCUCAAAGGGGGAGUGACCUAAUCAUGUCUUAAGAUAUAAAACCUAAAAGGUUUGCAGAAUACUUUUUCAAAAGAACCCUGUAAGGUGCAGUUAUUAUCAUUAUCA